UUCGCAAUGCCCGAAAGGGUGACGAAGCGACGCCGCGUGCGGGAAGAAGGCCUUCGGGUUGUAAACCGCUGUCGGGAGUUAAGAAAUGCAAGGAUAUUAAUAGUGUCUUUGCUUGACUAAGGCUCCGGAGGAAGCCACGGCUAACUCUGUGCCAGCAGCCGCGGUAAUACAGAGGCGGCAAGCGUUGUUCGGAAUUAUUGGGCGUAAAGAGCACGUAGGCGGCUAUGUAAGUCGGUUGUGAAAGCCUUCCGCUCAACGGGAGAACGGCAUCCGAUACUGCAUGGCUUGAGUGCGGGAGGGGAGAGUGGAACUUCUGGUGGAGCGGUGAAAUGCGUAGAUAUCAGAAGGAACGCCGGCGGCGAAAGCGGCUCUCUGGCCCAUAACUGACGCUGAGUGUGCGAAAGCUAGGGGAGCAAACGGGAUUAGAUACCCCGGUAGUCCUAGCCGUAAACGAUGGGCACUAAGUAGAGGGGUUUU
rnacentral:rRNA from 1 species